GGAUGUGAGGGCGAUCUGGCUGCGACAUCUGUCACCCCAUUGAUCGCCAGGGUUGAUCCGGCUGAUCUGGCUGGCUAGGCAGGCGUCCCCUUCCUCCCUCAAUGCUCCAUGUGCGUCCCUCCCGAAGCUGCGCGCUCCAUCGAAGAGGACAAGCACCCCCGAUAGAGGAGGACUGUUCCUCAGUCAAGGGUAUACGAGUAGCUGCGCUCCCCUGCUAGAACCUCCAAACAAGCUCUUACAAGAGAGAUUAACUUAAAGGAACAAGAAUUAGACCAGCUGAUUCAUCUUCAAAGGAAAAACACGUUGAUCUGU
rnacentral:snRNA from 1 species